GACGAACGCUGGCGGCGUGCUUAACACAUGCAAGUCGAACGGAAAGGCCCUGCUUUUGUGGGGUGCUCGAGUGGCGAACGGGUGAGUAACACGUGAGUAACCUGCCCUUGACUUUGGGAUAACUUCAGGAAACUGGGGCUAAUACCGGAUAGGAGCUCCUGCUGCAUGGUGGGGGUUGGAAAGUUUCGGCGGUUGGGGAUGGACUCGCGGCUUAUCAGCUUGUUGGUGGGGUAGUGGCUUACCAAGGCUUUGACGGGUAGCCGGCCUGAGAGGGUGACCGGCCACAUUGGGACUGAGAUACGGCCCAGACGCCUACGGGAGGCAGAAGUGGGGAAUAUUGCAGAAUGGGCGGAAGCCUGAUGCAGCAACGCCGCGUGCGGGAUGACGGCCUUCGGGUUGUAAACCGCUUUCGCCUGUGACGAAGCGUGAGUGACGGUAAUGGGUAAAGAAGCACCGGCUAACUACGUG
rnacentral:rRNA from 1 species